rnacentral:rRNA from 1 species
AUACGUAGGUGGCAAGCGUUGUCCGGAAUCAUUGGGCGUAAAGGGAGCGCAGGUGGAAACUUAAGUCGAACCUAAAAGUGCGGGGCUCAACCCCGUGAGGGGUUCGAAACUAAGCUUCUUGAGUGUAGGAGAGGAAAGCGGAAUUCCCAGUGUAGCGGUGAAAUGCGUAGAUAUUGGGAGGAACACCAGUGGCGAAGGCGGCUUUCUGGACUAUAACUGACACUGAGGCUCGAAAGCCAGGGGAGUGAACGGGAUUAGAUACCCCGGUAAUCCUGGCCGUAAACGAUGGGUACUAGGUGUAGGAGGUAUCGACCCCUUCUGUGCCGGAGUUAACGCAAUAAGUACCCCGCCUGGGGAGUACGGUCGCAAGACUGAA